GAAUUUGAACGCUCUUGGCAGUUGAGAUUCAGACCUUGACAGUUGUAACCGAUAGACUGGGCUGGGGCAACGCUGAUGAAAGGCAAAUUCCUGAGAGAAAAAUCACCCAGAUUUUUCAGUGCCUUCUCUAGCUUUCUAGAAGUUGUUAUGAGUGGACCUGACUACCUAGAGAGAGUAAUACAGAAGCUCCGUGCCGAUCACAGCUACCUCAUUACCAUGUUCCUCCAAGAUGGCCGCCCCUGAGGAGAAUCAUCAACUGGGCUUUACGGAAGAGAGAAAUCCAAACGACCAUCAGCAACAAAUGAAAGACUGAAGUUGAAAGGAAAUCCAUAAUUUUUGAAUGCUGGCCGAGGUCUGUGACCUCUGACUGAAUGGUUUCCAAGCUCCGAAUUCCUAGGUGAUGUUUUCAUUUGUUCACACUUGCUGAAGAAGGGAAAGGCUCUCUGAUUUACGUGUAAGCAAAACAAUCUAAACAGUAGGAUAAAAUCAUGUUGGAAUGGAGUUCUGUGUGGAUGCUCCUUUGAACCAAAUCAGUUCCACAACUGACCCUGUCAGGGACAUAUAAAUUUAGCAUUUUGGUGUGGAUACAGAAGACGAGAUUAACACAGAUCAAGUAACAUGGAAAUAAAAAAGGAGACAAUGCUGGAUGAUACAGGGGCAGCCAACAAGAGGAGAAAACCCAAGCAUUGGCAAAUGCCUCAUUAUCCAAAGAACACUGAGGUGUGGAGCAAAACUGUGUUGAAUGAACUGUAGAUGGAAAUUCUCUCCUUCCCACCGAGGAGCCGCUGCAGGUUGCAGACUCCCAGAAUGCCACACUGAGAAGAGGAGGGCUAAAAUUCUAGAGCAGAAUCCCUGGGGCAGCCCCUGCUGAAGAAGGGUGCAUCUGUUGAGAAUCUCAUCACCGCCCCCACCCCGCCCAGCCUUCAAUUUAGAGGAAUUUCUAGUUCACGCAGAAUGAAGACAAGAUCACAUAAGUGAGGACGACGCCCCAUUUACAAGUGUGAUUUGGAAGACUGAAGUGGAAACCUUGGGAAGGUGGGCCUCAGAGUAUGUCAGCUGGGGUCAGACGGGAACAGGAGUCUGGCUCAACACACAUUUAUUGCACUCCUGUUUCAUGCCAAGAAAUGUACCAAAAUCUGGGACUGUGUAACACAGCAAAGGAAAAGACUCAUCUCCAGGAAGCCCCCUUGUCUAGGAAGAGAAAUUGAAUAUCAGCAUAAGGUGGUGAAAAGCUGUGAAGGAGAUGAGUGCCAGGAGUCCAUGGAGGAAGGAUUCUAGCCUGGACAGAGUCUCCAUGAAUUGCAAGGGAAAACAAGUGGUACACUGGUAUUUCUAUUUGAUAACCUGUUCUCUUUGGAAUUCCGGUUAGAAAUCAAAGGCUUACUUGAGUUUUAAUGCUUUCGGGACUUCAAAUGCUUUUCUAUCUUCCUAAUAAUAUAUUAACAUUUUCUGAAGACAACAUAUAUGUGGAAAACAACAUUAUUUACUCAAAUAAUUUUUUUUGAAAAAUGGACCAAAAAAAAAGAAAAACCAACAAAAA
rnacentral:lncRNA from 1 species